GAUGAAGAACGCAGCGAAAUGCGAUACUUGGUGUGAAUUGCAGAAUCCCGUGAACCAUCGAGUCUUUGAACGCAAGUUGCGCCCGAAGCCAUUAGGCCGAGGGCACGCCUGCCUGGGCGUCACACGUCGUUGCCCCCCCAUCUACUCCUUCGGGAUUGCGGGGGGCGGAUGAUGGCCUCUCGUGCGCCUCGUCGCGCGGUUGGCCUAAAUGCCAAGUCCUCGGCGACGCACGCCACGACAAUCGGUGGUUGCGAAACCUCGGUUGCCUGUCGUGUGCGGUCGUCGCGCAUCGAGGGCUCGAAAAAAUUGCCGGGCUUCGGCUCGACUUUCAACGCGACCCCAGGUCAGGCGGGGUUACCCGCUGAAUUUAAGCAUAUCAAUAAGCGGAGA
rnacentral:misc_RNA from 1 species